rnacentral:rRNA from 1 species
AUUUAAUGGUUUAUUUUAGUAGGCAGGUAAAUUAGUUUUUAGUGAAGAAGGUUAAUGUUUUAUUAUUGGUCAAGAAAUAAUUUUUUUAAUUAUAGUUUAAUAGUAUUGUAAUAGAAAAUUUUUAGAUUUUUAGAAGAAGAAUUAAUGUUUCGUACCUUGUGUAUCAGGGUUUAUUAAAAGAGAUUAAUAAUUUAAGUUUCCCGAAUUUAGAAGAGCGAGGCUUGUAGAUAUCUUAUUGUUGCAUAAAUAUUUAAAAUACAGGCCUGGGAUUGAAACGAUAUUCGUUUCUAAAUAUAUCUGGUUUUUUAAGAAAUGGAUUAAAUCCACCUUGCUUUUGGUAAUUUUCUAAUUUUUUAGUCAGUUUCAGGGGCAAUGAUAUAUCUGGGGGGAUGAGCUCACGGCUAUCAUAAUAUAAGCAAUUUAAGUUAAAAUGAUAAGUAGGAUUAGAAGUUUUUUUCUUUAGAAAGGUGUUAUAACUAGUCUUUGUGACUAAUUUAUUUAUAAUUGCUUUAUUUGUUUUAUUAAAACUUAUUUUUGAAUAUUAUUUAUUUAGGGAUAAUGAUGGAAUUAGUAUAUUUAUUUUUAUAUUUAAAUUUGAUUGGAAGAUUAGAUAAAGGAAUUCGGCAAAUAAUUUCUUACCUGUUUAUUAAAAACAUGGCCUUUUGAUAAUAAUUUAAGGUCUAGCCUGCCCACUGAGUGUUUAAAUGGCUGCGGUAACCUGACCGUGCAAAGGUAGCAUAAUCAUUAGUUUUUUAAUUGAAAGCUGGAAUGAAUGGCUGAAUAAGGAAAUGACUGUCUCUAUCUUAAUUUUGGAAUUUUAUCUUUAAGUAAGAAAGCUUAAAUGUUAUUAAAAGACGAGAAGACCCUAUAGAGUUUUAUAUUGCUGGGUAUUUAAUUUUUAUAGAAUUUUGGUGUUAAAUAGUCAGUUUUAUUUGGUUGGGGCGACUGAAAAAUUAAAUAAACUUUUUCUUUAUUAGACCAUUGAUUUAUGAAUAAUUGAUCCAUAGUAAUGAUUAUAAGAGAAAAUUACCUUAGGGAUAACAGCGUAAUCUCUUUUUAGAGACCUAAUCGAGAAAGGGGUUUGCGACCUCGAUGUUGGAUUAAAAUUAAUUUUUGGUGCAGAAGCUGGAAAUAUUAGGUCUGUUCGACCUUUAAAAUUUUACAUGAUCUGAGUUUAGACCGGCGUGAGCCAGGUUGGUUUCUAUCUUUAAUUAGUAUAACAUUUUAGUACGAAAGGACCAAGUGUUAGAUAUAUUAUUUUUUUAUUGAAUACUAUU